CAACAAUAGUAAUCUUCUAUAUUUGCUGUUCCUUUUGUUGCUGAUUCUGAUUAGUUGACCAAUUUUUUUGUAUACUUAACAGAUGUAAUAAAAGAAAUGUUUAAAUAAAGCCGUGAAUACUUCAGAAGGAACAAUGACACAUUUUAUUUGAAAUUUUUUUAAUGAAUGCGAAGUAACUCCUAACAUGUGCUACCUACGACCAGACAUAAAUAACACAACACAUAUCUGGCAAUCGUUCAAAGUUGAAAACAUGUUCAUGGUAUGUAAACAGAACCUCAUUAUGAUCAAUGCAAAAACGAAUGCUAAUGAGGCUGUUUGACCACCAUAACUAUCAUACUUUUGUAAUAUUAUCUUUUAUUUCAUUUGUAAACAGAGGUAGAUAAAAUAUUGUGUACAUGCGA